UACGGAGGAUGCAAGCGUUAUCCGGAAUGAUUGGGCGUAAAGCGUCCGCAGGUGGCAAUGUAAGUCUGCUGUUAAAGAGUCUAGCUCAACUAGAUAAAAGCAGUGGAAACUACAUAGCUAGAGUACGUUCGGGGCAGAGGGAAUUCCUGGUGUAGCGGUGAAAUGCGUAGAGAUCAUGAAGAACACCGGUGGCGAAGGCGCUCUGCUAGGCCGUAACUGACACUGAGGGACGAAAGCUAGGGGAGCGAAUGGG
rnacentral:rRNA from 1 species